AAUGCCCAGGAGAAGAUUAAAGAAACACUGGUACAUUGGUUAGCAGGUUCAGCAGCAAAUCCCUGUGUCCGUGUAUGAAUCUCAGCUUGAUCAGUCGACACGCAGCUCACCCAGCUGUUCAUGGACCCUUUUGGGCUGACCAACUAAUGGGUAUCUAGGAAAACUUUGGGAAGAUAAACUGUGGGUAGCAGGAAUAUCACACUGGCCCUGUCAUUAUUAUUAUUACCCACCACAGACUCAAGGACAAGUAAGGCGGACAAACACAGAGGCCGCACGCAGCUUUGAGGAAUGCCCACAACUUUACCUGGAGACGAGGUAAUCCUGAAAACAUGAUUUAUCUCGAGAAAAACGACUUCGGUCGCCGUACAGUUCAUGGUACGCGCCGAUAAAUCACGUGACUUUGUUUACGUUUUCACGCUCACGCUCGCCAACCUCGCCCGACCAGUUAUACCAACACUGCCGACGAUUUAGGUUCGGUGCGGGUCUCGUUGGGGAGCGUAAAUCUUUGAGUGCAAGACGGGCGCCUGGCUUUCGUACGCCAGCCAACAAACCUGGUGCGCGUUUUCGUUUUGCCGCUCCCGAAAGGACUGUAAGACCGGCCCUAAGAGUCUGACAUUUCCAGGAGUAUAGUUUUAUGACCAGGUGGUAGUGUGACCCUUCCUCUGUACCCUGAACCUAAAGAAACACAUAUUUGGCAAGGCUUUCCUAGGAGUCUUUGACAUUUCCAGGAGUAUAGUUUUAUGACCAGGUGGUAGUUUGACCCUUCCUCUGUACCCUGAACCUAAAGAAACACAUAUUUGGCAAGGCUUUCCUAGGAGUCUUUGACAUUUCCAGGAGUAUAGUUUUAUGACCAGGUGGUAGUUUGACCCUUCCUCUGUACCCUGAACCUAAAGAAACACAUAUUUGGCAAGGCUUUCCUAGGAGUCUUUGACAUUUCCAGGAGUAUAGUUUUAUGACCAGGUGGUAGUUUGACCCUUCCUCUGUACCAUGAACAUGAAGAAACACUCAUUAGAACCCGAUUGCCCCCUCUUUGACCUUCAGAAAUACAGAACAUAGUUGACAUGAGAAGCAAAAGUGUCUUAUAAUACCAAUCCCAGGAUAUAGUUAAUAUUGUGUCAUCAAAACCCAGAUUAAAUUCAAACCUCUCCUGCGUCCAUCCCACUCUGAUUGGGCUCAUGUUAACGCCUCCCUGCACUGUGACGCCUUGUUUAAGAGCCCCCGAGCCAAGAAGGACGGAACAGAGAGGGAGAAAGCUGUUGCUGAGAGGGAGAAAAUAUAAGAAAGAUUUUAAUGGAAGCGACCAAGAUAGAUAAUGGAGAGAGAGAGAGAGAGAGAGAGAGAGAGAGAGAGAAUUACCUCCACUAAAAAUGAUCCACAAAGUCUAAAUGGAUGUAUAUAAUCCCCCCUUUGCGCCCAUGGACCCCCCUAAUGAAACAGACCAGCUAUAGUGUAAGCUAUCUAAUGGGGGCCUUCUCCCCCUCGACAACUUAACAAAACUACAAAAAAACAUCAUACUUUCCCUCCUUAUUAUCAAAAUUCCUUGAUUGCUCGUUAACCAUUUUAGAAAAAAAUAAAUUAAC